rnacentral:lncRNA from 1 species
GAUUAUGUUUCUCUACAUCUCGUUGUCUUGGUUGAACUCUUUUGAGAUUUUCUAGGGCUUUUUCUGAGACCUUAUGGUCGAUGAUGGCUUUGACCAUUUCCGAGUUUUUCGUCAUGAUAUUUGAGUAUAUUUUCUUCACCCGAACAUUCUGAGUGGUUUUCUGCUGAUUUUGGGUGGUUUCUCGGUGACCUAUCGGCUUCUAGGGUUUCUGGUGGUUUAACCUAGUUUAUGAUGAUUUUUGGUUGAUUUUUGGGUGACCUAUCGGUUUCUAGGGUUUCUGGUGGUUUAACCUAAAGUUUUACUGCCAUCCGGUGGUUCGAUUCUCACUCAGUGGACGUUUUGGGUUCCUCUCCGACGUUCCUGAUCAGAUUUCCAGUAAGGAUUUCCAAGGUUACACCUAGGAUUUGAUACCUAGGGUUUCUCUGUUGUUUGAAGGCCGAUCUUCUCCAGUCGCGAAGAAUGAGGGUAACUCAGUCCUUAUCUUCGGUAUUGUAUGUGAUUAUCUGACUCUGUGUAUGUGAGCAUCUGAUGUUGUCUGUGAAUACCUGAUUUGGUUAUACUUUGUUUGUUGGUUAUUGUGUGUGAAUACCUGAUUUGGUUAUAAUCUGUUUGUUGAAAAGUUGUUCUUUUAAGCCGGUUCAUUGACUAUGGCUUCUAACACAAAUACUGGUGCCUCCCCUUCUGUAGACUCUUCCAGUCCCCUUUUUGUAUAUUCUUCUGAUGUCCCUGGGGUAUCUCUCGUUCUCACUCCCUUCUCGCGUAGUGGUUAUGGGGGCUGGAGACGUAAAUAGAUUGUUGCCUUAUCAGCCAAAAACAAAAUCGGUUUUGUUGAUGGCACAUACUCUCGACCUGCCACUAAUGUGGCUCAACAGAGGUUGUGGGAUAGGUGCAACAACAUGGUGAUUUCUUGGUUGACUGCUUCCCUCUCCCCUGCAAUUGCUUAAUUUGUGCAGUACUCUGACAUUGCACAGAGUAUAUGGUCCCAACUCCAAGCCAGAUAUGGCACUGCAAAUAGGACCAAAAUCUUUGAACUG